rnacentral:tRNA from 1 species
CUGUCGCUGGUGCAACGGAUAGCGCAACCGGCUUCUACCCGGUAGAUGGGGGUUCGAUUCCUCCGCGACAGGCCA